rnacentral:rRNA from 1 species
UACGUAGGUGGCAAGCGUUGUCCGGAGUUAUUGGGCGCAAAGCGCGCGCAGGCGGUGCGGUAAGUCUCUGGUGAAAGCGCUCGGCUUAACUGGGCGAGGGCCGGGGAGACUGCCACGCUGGAGGGGAGCAGAGGCGAGUGGAAUUCCGGGUGUAGUGGUGAAAUGCGUAGAGAUCCGGAGGAACACCAGUGGCGAAGGCGGCUCGCUGGGCUCUACCUGACGCUGAGGCGCGAAAGCGUGGGGAGCGAACCGG